rnacentral:tRNA from 1 species
GCUUCGAUAGUGUAAUGGUUAAUCACCGCAGACCGUAUAUCCGUAAGUGUAAGUUUGAGUCCUGCUUGAGGUU